AGUACACCAUCUGACACUACAGUGAAAGAGAGCACUGUAUGGACUGAUACUGUGGUCCCUUUUAAUACAACAUCUGAGGAAGAUCUCUCAAAGGAGAUCACUGUGUGGACAGAUCCAGUAAUCCCUUUGAAUUCACCAUCUGAUUCCUCAUAUAAGGAGAGG